rnacentral:tRNA from 1 species
GGGGGUAUAGCUCAGUUGGGAGAGCACCUGCCUUGCACGCAGGGGGUCAGGAGUUCGAAUCUCCUUACUCCACC